GAGAGAGAGAGAGAGAGAGAGAGAGAGAGAGAGAGAGAGUGAGAGAGAGAGAGAGAGAGAGAGAGAGAGAGAGAGAGAGAGAGAGAGAGAGAGAGAGAGAGAGAGAGAGAGAGAGAGAGAGAGAGAGAACCAGCAGCUUACCGGAUUCUCCGUUUAAUUCGGAUCGCUCCACCACCCCUCGCCACUGUGAACGUCCCCGACGCAGCGUGCCGACCCGGGCCUGUCUCUCCCGCGAUCGGAUGGUCUCAUGCGGUCUCGUUGGAAAACAAGAGGAAGAUGUUCACGCGAGGAGACCUCAGAUCAGACUGCAGCCGAGAGCAGGCGAGCAAACACAGCCGACAUGCAACAACCACCACGACAUUUGCAACGGGGGUAAAAACGCGUUGCGAAUGUCGACCUUGUGCGCGGGAAUGGGGGACGCGUUGGUUUUGGGAUGAGCCUCGAGGUGCUCCGUAUUGAAAUUGACCUGAUCCUGUUGGAGCAAUUGACACAUUGAAUAGAGACGAAGCAACGGCGAUAUUAUUAUUUUUUUGCUUAAAUAGCGCAGCAUGCUCUCCGAUACGCGCGUCUGUUCACGCUCUCCGUCC
ensembl:lncRNA